rnacentral:lncRNA from 1 species
GAGCUGUUCGUUGGGAGGAAUUCUACACUGUCACACUUACACCACGUCAUUAAUAACAAGCCAAUCACAUUCCUUCUUUUCAAACAAAAGUACAAUAAAAAUACUUUUUUACAAUCAUGAUGGGACAUAUAUUCUUAAAAGGAUUAAUUUGAUUGAUUUGUUACGCCACGUUACUAAUAUAACCGUUGCAUUCUAGAAUUUUUCGUUCGUUGGAAGGU